UACGAAGGGGGCUAGCGUUGCUCGGAAUCACUGGGCGUAAAGCGCACGUAGGCGGUCUCUUAAGUCGGUGGUGAAAUCCUGGAGCUCAACUCCAGAACUGCCUUCGAUACUGAGAGUCUCGAGUCCGGGAGAGGUGAGUGGAACUGCGAGUGUAGAGGUGAAAUUCGUAGAUAUUCGCAAGACCACCAGUGGCGAAGGCGGCUCACUGGCCCGGUACUGACGCUGAGGUGCGAAAGCGUGGGGAGCAAACAGG
rnacentral:rRNA from 1 species